CCGGUUGCUAUGGAGUUUCGCGCAUGCGCCGUGCCGCGGCCCCGCCCCCCGUUGCUAUGGGGGUUCGCGGCGCCGCCCCCGGUUGCUAUGGAGUUUCGCGCAUGCGCCGUUCCGCGGCCCCGCCCCCCGUUGCUAUGGGAGUUCGCGGCGCCGCCCCCGGUUGCUAUGGAGUUUCGCGCAUGCGCCGUGCCGCGGCCCCGCCCCCCGUUGCUAUGGGGGUUCGCGGCCCCGCCCCCGGUUGCUAUGGAGUUUCGCGCAUGCGCCGUGCCGCGGCCCCGCCCCCCGCUGCUAUGGAGCUCCGCGGCCCCGCCCCCGGUUGCUAUGGAGUAUCGCGCAUGCGCCGUGCCGCGGCCCCGCCCCCGUUGCUAUGGGGGUUCGCGGCCCCGCCCGCCGUUGUUAUGCGGGUUCGCGGCGCCGCCCCCGGAUGCUAUGGAGUUUCGCGUAUGCGCCGUGCCGCCGCCCCGCCCCCCGUUGCUAUGGAGGUUCGCGGCGCCGCCCCCGGUUGCUAUGGAGUUUCGCGCAUGCGCCGUGCCCCGCCCCCCGUUGCUAUGGGGGUUCGCGGCGCCGCCCCCGGUUGCUAUGGAGUUUCGCGCAUGCGCCGUGCCGCGGCCCCGCCCCCCGUUGCUAUGGGGGUUCGCGGCACCGCCCCCGGUUGCUAUGGAUUUUCGCGCAUGCGCUGUGCCGCGGCCCCGCCCCCGGUUGCUAUAGAGGUUCGCGCAUGCGCCGUGUCGCGUCUCGUUGCUAUGGAGCGCGGUCCACAGCGAACUGCAGUGCCGACAAUUAAACACACGGUGGCAGCAGCGAGCACGGUCCCCAGCGAACUGCAGUGCCAACAAUUAAACACAGGGUGGCAGCAGCGAGCACGGUCUCCAGGGAGCUGCAGUGCCUACAAUUAAACACAGGGUGGCAGCAGGGAGCACGGUCCCUAGGGAGCUGCAGUGCCGACAAUUAAACACAGGGUGGCAGCAGGGAGCACGGUCCCCAGGGAGCUGCAGUGCCGGCAGUUAAGCACAGGGUGGCAGCAGUGAGCGCUGCGCGCAUGCGUUGGGUCGCUGUGCGGGGUGCGGAGCUGGCGCAUGCGUCCUGCUCUGCCGCCUCGUUACGCAUGCGGGGCCGGGGCCGUGCUGAGAGGCCUGCGGGGGGAAGGCUGCGGCGGCAGCGGCGUGGAGCGGCAGCGGGGCCGGGCCGGGCCGGGCCGAGGAGGGCUUUGCAGUGCCGGGAGCUGAACUGCUUUGCCCCAGCCCAGCUGCAGAUCUGCACUCAGCCUCAGCCCCAAGCCCUGGCAGGGUGGGAUGCUUUGGUCCCAGGCCGUGGAGCUGUUUGAAAUGCAAUUCCUGCUUGCAGCUGGUUCAGAAAUGGAUUUCCUGUGGCUGUGGGGGCAGAAAUGUCUCUGUGCACACGCUCAGAGGACAGGUCCCUGGAUUGCAGUGCUGCUCCAAUGGCCUGUGGUGGCUGCAGGCAGCCGCGGCCCGGGGAGCCCAAGACUCAGCGUGUGGAAGGGUUGGGAGCAGCCCUGGGUGCCUGCAAGGAUUCGGGAGGUCAGCUGAGCAGGCCUGAGCAGGUCUGAAACCCUGCCACGGAGAGGCACUGGCACCGCAGCAGUGCCUGCAUUUCAGCAGCUGCCCAUCGGAGCUAAGCACAGCCUCGGCUCAGAGGUUUGCACUUUGCUUUCCACUCCACUGGCCAAGCCAGCCAGAUGUGCAGCAGCAGCAGGAUGGGCACGAGGGCCCCAGCUGCUGCGGUGAAUCCGUCAGCACGGACGCUGGUGCCGCUGCAGCCUGGCCCUGCAGCCUGGCAGGGUGAUCUCCUUUGGCUCGGCUCCUGUGGGCUCCAGCUGCAGGGGUGGAUUUGCCUGCACUCAAGCUGCUGCUGCCAGAGCCCCUCCGUGUCAAUCUGUGCUGCCGUUGGGUUCUGCAGCUCUCUCCAGCAAGCAUGGCAUGAGCUGAAGGAGCAGCAGGAGCAGCAUGGCCGUUCCCCAGGCAGCAGGAGGGUUCAGCCCAGCACCAGCUCAUGUGGGAGGAGCAGAUGCUGAGGAACAUCCCCCACGAGACGCAGGUGGCCAAAGAGGCUGGGUCAGGUGCCAAAAAGGAGACCUUCUUCACCUGCUUCUCCUGUGCAAGCUCUUCUGUCUGUCUGCUGAGAUGUUUCUGUCUGUUUCUCUGGCAGAGAAGUGUUUGCUUUUUUGGCUGGCGAGCUGACCAUCCGUACUACCGUCGCCUUGAAUGCCUCCAACCAGCAGUGUUUGCUGCCAGACAGACACCUGGAGAAGACAGAGGACAUGGUUAAGUUCAUGAAGGAUAUCUUGGAUGGUGCUGCUGAAAGGACGGAGAGCGGUGGUUGCCAGCCAAGUGGGUGCGACCCUGGCUACAUGCUGAAACCAAGGAAAACAAGGAGGAUGAUCAAACGGCAAUAGAAGAAAUUGCUGACUUAGAAGCUGCACACAACGUCACCAGAGACAACUGAUCUGAGCUAAAUGUUGAACAAUAUGUAUUGGUUAUCUGCUAUUGUAAUUAUUUUUGUGGUGCAGGAGAAUUUUGGGUGGGGUAGUGAAGACAACUUUUGGGUGAACUGGGCAAAGGAGACAAAUAACCCAUCCUUUUGCUUACACUUAUCAGCAGCCACAGACCCAUUUAAAACAUGCCUGAUAGGGUUGCCAUUUGAUGAUCAACGCACUUUGGUAGCCUCCUUUUCAUCUCUCACACAUCAAGAUUGUUCUACAGCAAAAAGUAUAAGUCAUUGUAUGGCAUUAAUAGUUGCAAGCCUCAAUGACCCUUUACCAUGGGAUCCUCAAGAGUUCAACCUGUUAGGAAGUAGAAUGCCAAAUCAGUCAGGAUGUCUGAUAUUUGGCUCGUACAAUCUGACGAAUCGUCAAAUAACAGAUCUAACAUCCUAUCAUUUUCCUUAUUGGAGUACCUCUGAUUUUUGUGCUAAAGACACGGUUUAUGGUUGGAACACAAAUGGUAUGUGCCUUAACAUUACCAAAGCCUUAAGAUUGCCUAGAAAUGUGUUCCUGAUUUGUGGUAGAAGAGCGUGGCUUGGAAUCCCAAAAGAAAGUAACGGAGGGCCAUGUUACAUUGGUCACCUUUCUUUGCUAACUCCUACUUCAGAAUUUAUCCGAAAUCAUAUUGCAAGUAGUGCAACUCUAUUAAGAAAUCGUAGAAAUGUAGAAAUGUUAACCUCUGAUUGUAGUGAUGAAGUGGAACUUUGGUCUCAUACAGCAAGAGUUUUUGGAGCAUUGUUUCCUCCUAUAGGAACAGCACAUGCCUUGUCAGCCAUUCAGAGAUUAGCAUGUUGGACAGCAAAACAAGCUAAUGUUACUACUAGUGUUAUUUCUCAGCUUGCAGUAGAUCAAAAUAGUUUGCGAAAGGCUACCCUGCAAAAUAGAGCAGCUAUAGAUUACUUGCUUUUAGUACAAGGAAAAGGCUGUGAAGAGGUAGAAGGAAUGUGUUGUUUUAACUUGUCUGAUCAUAGUGAUUCAAUCCAUAAAAAGGUAGACUGGCUUCAGCAUCAUACAGAGAAAAUUACAACGAAUCAUAACCCCUUUGAUGAUUGGCUAAUGUCAUGGGGAAUUUCAGCUUGGGCAAAAGAGUUAAUCAAAACUGUAGGAAUAGUAUUACUUAUUGUUAUUGUUGUGUUAUUUUUAGGACCCUGCAUCUUCCGAUGUCUAUCCUGGCAGAUGCAUCGGAUCGCUGCUACAGUGUUUGAAAAGAAAGGGGGAGAUGUGGGGAAUUUUGUAGGGGCUGUUGCUUUGCAAUCGAUAUGUAGGCGAUUGGAACACAGCGGGUAAGACACCGCUCAGCCCAAGGACACUGUGUCCGCUUCGUGCUUUCUAUGAAAAAAAAAAGCAGAGUUGGCCUGAGGAUGUUGCGUCCUUGUGAUACAGCUGUGCAAAGUAAAACAAGUAAUGAAUCAGUCAUGAAUAUACCUUAGAACAAAGGAUCUGCACAUCUGGAAAUGUAGGGUUUGAUAUAUGAGCACACGUACUGCUUAUAAAAAUACCUUUUUGUAUCUACUAAUGAUUAUGUUUUAAACCACAAAAAUGUAUUGCAUGGACCAAUUAGAAAUCGACAUGUAAUCCUGUAAUAGUAUAAAAAGCCUUCUGAUUUGUGUAUUAAACGUCUUACAUUUACAAUCCAUAUUGGAUUCUGUAAGUCCAUUUCCUCAACUUUGGGAACAGUCAGCAUGCUAACAGCGCCUAACAGCGACAAACACAGAGUCAGGUGAAAUGAAGGCUGAAGAGAUAGGAAAAGUCUUUCUCAGCCUCAUAGCUAAAGACAGUUUAGUUUCCCCAAGAAGUCCCAUUCUACCUGUUGUGCAUUGGUUUGAUGCCAAAGCCAAACAACUGCCCCAGACCUUUCUAUUUUCUCAGCUUUGGUGUAAAUGAAUAUGAAUUGAGGUUGGAUGAGGCCCUGAGCAGCCUGUUGCAGUGGGAGGUAUCCCUGCCUAGAGCAGAGGGUUGGGACUGGAUGAUCCUUGAGGUCCCUUCCAACCUAAACCAUUCAAUGAAGUCUUUUGUCAGCUCCUAGGAUUAGUGACAGUGGGGAAUGUUUGCUUGCUAUGAGCUGAGGGAGCUGUUUCCUAAAUGGAAUGUUCAUUAGUUCUUUAGCACCUGAAAAUGUUGGCAGGCUACUUGAUAAACCUCCUGGAACGCAGGGGCCUGUUGAAUUGUUUUCCCAGUGCCUGAACAACUUGCAGUGCUGUAAUGGGUUAGCCUCCUGUUUCCCUCCAACACAGAAGUGAGGCAAAAGUAACACAGCCAAGGAAAAACCCUCUGGGUUGAGAUCAAGAGGUAAAUACAAAAUGAGAUCCUGCAGUGCACAAUUACCUUAGCCUGUUUCUGUUUGCAGAAAGCAGGAGUCAGCCACCUGCCACCCAUCCCCUCCUGACCCCAACCCCAGAAACCCAAAGCAGCACUUGGCACAGGAGGUCUCUCGUGUUGCAGUCUCAACUUCAAGCCCUGGAAUACUUUGCUUCAGCCAGCAGCAUGGGGUUGGAUACCAACAGCAGAGUCGACUUAACCUGUGACUAAGUGAACUUUAAGUGUUCUGACUCCACAGUGGAACCUGAUAAAGAAAGAUGUGAAUGGAA